rnacentral:rRNA from 1 species
ACGGAAGGCAGCAGUGAGGAAUAUUGGUCAAUGGACGGAAGUCUGAACCAGCCAUGCCGCGUGAAGGAUUAAGGCCCUAUGGGUCGUAAACUUCUUUUGUACGGGAGCAAUAAGGACCACGUGUGGUUUGAUGAGAGUACCGUACGAAUAAGCAUCGGCUAACUCCGUGCCAGCAGCCGCGGUAAUACGGAGGAUCCGAGCGUUAUCCGGAUUUAUUGGGUUUAAAGGGUGCGCAGGCGGGCUGCUAAGUCUCCGGUGAAAUGUCAGGGCUCAACCUUGGCACUGCCGGAGAUACUGGCGGCCUUGAGAGUGGCGGAGGUAUCCGGAAUGUGUGGUGUAGCGGUGAAAUGCAUAGAUAUCACACAGAACACCGAUUGCGAAGGCAGGAUACCAUACCAUAUCUGACGCUCAGGCACGAAAGCGUGGGGAUCGAACAGGAUUAGAUACCCUGGUA